CUGUCACAAACGCAUCUCGCACUUCUAUUAAACGCUAAAACCAGGCAGCUUUAUCACUUUUAUGCCUCGCCAGUCACACCCUGUAAACUGAACCUAGCUGAAGAGAUAAUAGGAGACUCUAGGUUCAAGUAGGGGAAGGUUGUAUAUGCGUGACAUUCGUUAAUUGGCCAAUAACUCAUAAGAACUAGUUCAGGAGAGAAGAAAAGAAAAAAAGGCUGAAUCGAAAAUAGGAGUCCAGUGACAUGGAGUUUAGACGGAAGUUAUUUUACGCAGCAAAAAAUGGUAUUUUGUAUGCUCGGCAGGAGUACAGUCACGUUCGACUUGUAUGAUAAAGCGCAGUCCCUGAGAUAACGGGCCUUUCUUUUACACUGGGUGAGGAGUUGCUGAUGGUUAUUUAGAGCCAAUAAUAGUACGGCUAUCCCCUCGUCUACAACGUGCUAUAGUAGAAGACUCUUCAUGGCGUAUACAUGUUGCAGGCAUUAUGCGCGACAAAUAAUACCAUGCAUACAUCAACCGCCCAAUUGGCGAUUUUUAGCGCCUAAUCGUGCACGCGGCAUUCCCAAAUAUACUAUAUAUCUCAUGACUUCUA
rnacentral:sRNA from 1 species